CGGCGAGUGAAGCGGUAACAGCUCAAAUUUGAAAUCUGACCUUCCGGUCCGAGUUGUAAUUUGUAGAGGAUGUUUCGGGCAAGGCCUCAGCUUAAGUUUCUUGGAACAGAACGUCAUAGAGGGUGAGAGUCCCGUCUAGAGCGUCGGCCGCGUCCAUGUGAAACUCCUUCGACGAGUCGAGUUGUUUGGGAAUGCAGCUCAAAAUGGGUGGUAAAUUUCAUCUAAAGCUAAAUAUUGGCCAGAGACCGAUAGCGCACAAGUAGAGUGAUCGAAAGAUGAAAAGCACUUUGAAAAGAGAGUUAAACAGUAUGUGAAAUUGUUGAAAGGGAAGCGCUUGCAACCAGACUUGUGUGUCACGGUUCCCCCUGUCUUCUGACUGGGUUACUCCGUGAUGUCCAGGCCAGCAUCGGUUCGGGUGGUCGGUUAAAGGUCUUGGGAAUGUAUCUACCUCCGGGUCGACUUAUAGCCCAAGGCGGAAUGCGGCCUACCUGGACCGAGGAACGCGCUUUUGCUCGGAUGCUGGCGUAAUGGUUGUAAGCGGCCCGUCUUGAAACACGGACCAAGGAGUCUAACAUCUAUGCGAGUGUUAGGGUGUCAAACCCUUACGCGUAAUGAAAGUGAACGGAGGUGAGAACCCGUAUGGGCGCAUCAUCGACCGAUCCUGAUGUCUUCGGAUGGAUUUGAGUACGAGCAUAGCUGUUGGGACCCGAAAGAUGGUGAACUAUGCCUAAAUAGGGUGAAGCCAGAGGAAACUCUGGUGGAGGCUCGCAGCGGUUCUGACGUGCAAAUCGAUCGUCAAAUUUGGGUAUAGGGGCGAAAGACUAAUCGAAC
rnacentral:rRNA from 1 species